rnacentral:rRNA from 1 species
UCUACGGGAGGCAGCAGUGGGGAAUAUUGCGCAAUGGGCGAAAGCCUGACGCAGCGACGCCGCGUGAGGGAUGAAGGUCUUCGGAUCGUAAACCUCUGUCAGCAGGGAAGAACGGUCACUGUGCUAAUCAGCAGUGAAUUGACGGUACCUGCAAAGGAAGCACCGGCUAACUCCGUGCCAGCAGCCGCGGUAAUACGGAGGGUUCGAGCGUUAAUCGGAAUUACUGGGCGUAAAGCGCUCGUAGGCGGUAUGUCAAGUCAAGGGUGACAUCCCCGCGCUCAACGUGGGAACUGCCUUUGAAACGGGGAAACUGGAGUGUGUGAGAGGAUAGUGGAAUUCCAGGUGUAGGAGUGAAAUCCGUAGAUAUCUGGAGGAACAUCAGUGGCGAAGGCGACUAUCUGGAACAUAACUGACGCUGAGGAGCGAAAGCGUGGGUAGCAAACAGGAUUAGAUACCCCUGUAGUC